rnacentral:rRNA from 1 species
UACGAAGGGGGCUAGCGUUGCUCGGAAUCACUGGGCGUAAAGGGGUGCGUAGGCGGGUCUUUAAGUCAGGGGUGAAAUCCUGGAGCUCAACUCCAGAACUGCCUUUGAUACUGAAGAUCUUGAGUUCGGGAGAGGUGAGUGGAACUGCGAGUGUAGAGGUGAAAUUCGUAGAUAUUCGCAAGAACACCAGUGGCGAAGGCGGCUUACUGGUCCGGAACUGACGCUGAGGUGCGAAAGCGUGGGGAGCAAACAGGGAU